UACGAGGGGGGCAAGCGUUGUUCGGAUUUACUGGGCGUAAAGGGCGCGUAGGCGGCCACCGCAAGUCGACUGUGAAAUCUCCGGGCUUAACCCGGAAAGGUCAGCCGAUACUGCGGGGCUAGAGUGCAGAAGGGGCAACUGGAAUUCUCGGUGUAGCGGUGAAAUGCGUAGAUAUCGAGAGGAACACCUGCGGCGAAGGCGGGUUGCUGGGCUGACACUGACGCUGAGGCGCGAAAGCUAGGGGAGCGAACGGG
rnacentral:rRNA from 1 species